GAUGAACGCUGGCGGCGUGCCUAAUACAUGCAAGUCGAGCGAACGGACGAGAAGCUUGCUUCUCUGAUGUUAGCGGCGGACGGGUGAGUAACACGUGGAUAACCUACCUAUAAGACUGGGAUAACUUCGGGAAACCGUAGCUAAUACCGGAUAAUAUUUUGAACCGCAUGGUUCAAAAGUGAAAGACGGUCUUGCUGUCACUUAUAGAUGGAUCCGCGCUGCAUUAGCUAGUUGGUAAGGUAACGGCUUACCAAGGCAACGAUGCAUAGCCGACCUGAGAGGGUGAUCGGCCACACUGAAACUGAGACACGGUCCAGACUCCUACGGGAGGCAGCAGUAGGGAAUCUUCCGCAAUGGGCGAAAGCCUGACGGAGCAACGCCGCGUGAGUGAUGAAGGUCUUCGGAUCGUAAAACUCUGUUAUUAGGGAAGAACAUAUGUGUAAGUAACUGUGCACAUCUUGACGGUACCUAAUCAGAAAGCCACGGCUAACUACGUG
rnacentral:rRNA from 1 species